UACGUAGGGUGCAAGCGUUGUCCGGAAUUAUUGGGCGUAAAGAGCUCGUAGGCGGUUUGUUGCGUCGGCUGUGAAAUCCCGAGGCUCAACCUCGGGUCUGCAGUCGAUACGAGCAAACUAGAGUGUUGCAGGGGAGACUGGAAUUCCUGGUGUAGCGGUGAAAUGCGCAGAUAUCAGGAGGAACACCGGUGGCGAAGGCGGGUCUCUGGGCCGUAACUGACGCUGAGGAGCGAAAGCGUGGGGAGCGAACAGG
rnacentral:rRNA from 1 species